rnacentral:tRNA from 1 species
GCGAGUUUGCGGACACAAAAGAGUCGGCAGAGCGCGUCCUUGGUAAGGACGAGGUCAGCAGUUCGAAUCUGCUUAAACGCUCCA